GACGUAGGAGGCGAGCGUUGUCCGGAUUCAUUGGGCGUAAAGAGCACGCAGGCGGUUUGGCAAGUCGGAUGUGAAAACCCGGAGCUCAACUCCGGACCUGCAUCCGAAACUGCCCGACUAGAGGUAGGUAGGGGAGAUCGGAAUUCCUGGUGUAGCGGUGAAAUGCGCAGAUAUCAGGAGGAACACCAGUGGCGAAGGCGGUCCCUGGC
rnacentral:rRNA from 1 species